GCAAAAGUUCCAUUUUUUCCCCCCCGAGGCGGAGUCUCACUGUGUCGCCCAGGCUGGAGUGCAGUGGCGUGAUCUCGGCUCACUGCAACUUCCGCCUCCUGGGUUCAAGCAAUUCUCCCUGCCUCAGCCUCCCGAGUAGUUGGAAUUACAGGCUCCUGCCAGCAUGCCCGGCUAAUUUUUGUAUUUUUUAGUAGGGACGGGGUUUCUCCGUGUUGGCCAGGCUGGUCUUGAACUCCUGAUCUCAGGUGAUCUGCCCACUUUGGCCUCCCUAAGUGCUGGGAUUACAGGUGUGAGCCACUGCGCCUGGCCGAAAAUUUCGUUUUUAAAGCUAGCAACUUUUUAAGUGCUGAAGAGGACUGUGCAGAAAUCCACCCAGUUAAACAUGAAGCUGGCCUUUUAAAGUCAGCCCAACCCUUUUUUGUUUCACAGUUUAGGGUCUAACAGGAACUAAAGGUAGAACUUUGGUAGUUAACAGCAUCAGUCAUGGCUGAACUACACCUGCUGAAGGCUCUUCUUAAGUGGAAAUAAUCUUCAUGGGGCUGGCCCGUGAAAAGCAUGGCCCCAGCUUCUCCCUUUCACCUCAGAAUUGUCUUCGGAUGGUAGCCACUCAGCCCAUUCCUAAAGGCCAUGAGAUUUUCAACACUUAUGGGCAAAUGGCUAACUGGCAACUGAUUCAUAUGUACGGUUUUGUUGAACCAUAUCCUGACAACACAGAUGACACAGCUGACAUUCAGAUGGUGACAGUUCGUGAGGCAGCAUUACAGGGAACAAAAACUGAAGCUGAAAGGCUCCUAGUGUACGAGCGCUGGGAUUUCCUAUGCAAACUGGAGAUGGUAGGGGAAGAGGGAGCCUUUGUGAUAGGGAGGGAGGAGGUGCUGACUGAAGAGGAGCUGACCACCACACUAAAGGUACUGUGCAUGCCUGCUGAGGAGUUCAGAGAGCUUAAAGACCAGGAUGGAGGGGGAGAUGAUAAAAGGGAAGAGGGCAGCCUGACGAUCACAAAUAUUCCCAAGCUCAAAGCAUCGUGGAGACAGUUGCUUCAAAACAGUGUUCUACUGACUUUGCAGACUUAUGCCACAGACUUAAAAACUGACCAAGGUUUACUCAGUAAUAAGGAAGUCUAUGCCAAACUCAGCUGGAGGGAACAGCAAGCCUUACAGGUUCGCUAUGGUCAGAAGAUGAUUUUACAUCAGUUGUUGGAACUGACAAGUUAGCAGUUUCCCUGUUCCCUGAAGGAACAGCAAUAAGAACUUUAUUCUAA
rnacentral:sRNA from 1 species